GUUUGCCAAGCAGAAGAAAAUGUCUCCAUGCGGCCGCUGUAGAGCGCAGACCGUUUCCCAGGUCUCUCCUCCCCUGCUGUUAGUGGCUGAAGAAACCUAAAAAGCUACAGAAAAGCCAAGAAAUGCACCCCAAGUACUGCAUUAAAAUGAAACAUCCCAAGAGACAGUAUGUCUGGGCAAAAAGUAGGCCCAGAGAGCGGCACAUGGCUUGAAGCACUGCAACAUCCCUUCGGACUUAAGACCUGGAACUGCCCUUGAUGAGCCAGUCGUUGAGGUACAGGUAGAACUGGAUACCCUGGUGCCUGAGAUAGGGCCCCGCCACUGAAGGGCAGGUCCUGCAAUGACUUCUGGGCCUCGGUGGACAACCCAGAGAGGAGCGGCCAAGAGACUCGCUGCAUGGAGAUAGCGGAAGCCAUGGUGCGGGCAGCACUCGUGCCCUCAAAAAGGAUCGCUCUGAAUUCCUUCUUGGAAGCCUCAGGGAGCGACCCUUUGAACUUGGCCAGGGCUUGCUGCAUAUUUAAGUCAUAUUGGCCAAGGAGGGCUUGGUGGUUGGUUACUCUCAGCUGAAGGCUGGAAGAUGAAAAUACCUUUUGCCCAAAAAGAUCCAGCUUCCUUGAGUCUUUAUUUGUGGGGGUGGCCCCGGGUUGUCUCUGCCUCCUCUUGUGGUUCACCACCUCAACCACAAGAGAAUUGGGGGCUGGGAGGGAGUAUAGGUACUCACGCCCUUUGGUUGGCAUGAAGUACUUAUGUUUGGCCCUUUUUAGAGAGGGGGUCUGGCACAGGGCAUUAGUGAGAUUUAUAAAGAUAGCUACACCACUCGACUCAAAAUCUGAGAGGGAUGAGGUGUGGAGCAUGCUUUCAGAAGUCUUAAAAGAGCAACACUCCGAUGCGGAAACUACAGAACUGAACCACCAAAAAAGAAAAUCAACCUUCUGCUGGUGGCAUCUGACUCAGAUGUUGAAAAUGAAGAUGCAUUGGUCUGCACUGCUUUGGAUUGUUAUUGAGCAGAACCUGUCAUCAGCACGGACGCAUGUCUUCUGGAAUGGUGUUUGAAGCAUGAAGGGACACGUCAAUCUUUAAUGCAUCUGACACACAAACAUCUUGCUAUGCUGGCUACAACCGUGCCAUGAGAAUGCCUGUUCUCACUUUCAGGUGACCCUGUAAACAAGAAGUGGGCAGCAUUAUCUCCUGCGCAAAUGUAAACAAACUUGUUUGAGGGAUUGGCUGAACAAGAAGUAGGACUGAGUGGACUUGUAGGCUCUAAAGUUUUACAUUGUUGUUUUUGAGUGCAGAUAUGUAACAAAUCUGCAUUUGUAAGUUGCACUUUCAUGAUUGAGAUUGCACUAUAGUAUGUAUGAGGUAAAUUGAAAAAUACGAUGUCAUUUUUACAGUGCAAUAUUUAAAAAAAUAAAGUAAGCAUUGUAUGCUUUGAAAUCAAUAUUUGAAAAUGUAGAAACAUACAAAAAUAUUGAAUAUUUCAAUUGGUAUUCUAUUGUUUAACUGCAAUUAAACUGAUCAAGACUAAUUUUUUUAAUCGUGAUUAAUCUUGAGUUCAUCAUGUGAGUUAACUGUGAUUAAUCAACAGCCCUCAUACUGAGCAAUAUAAACAAGUCAUUUCUAUAUGAAAUUUUAGUUUACAGACUUCACUAAUGCUUUUUAUGUAGCCUGUUGUAAAAUUAGGUAAAUAUCUAGAUGUACUGUACCCCACUGUGUACCCCCACACAUACAUCUACCCCUGGUCGAGACCCACUUAAAAAUAGCCAAGGUGGUUAUUUAAACAGAGCCUAUCUGCUAUUGCUCCUCUCCAAAUAUGAAAGUGAUGGCUUGUUAGAGUAAUACUGCUUUUCCUCCAACAGGUUCUUAUGAAAACUCAGACUCUGGAAUCUGUCAAACCUACAUUGACUUAUAUAAACAACUGACAUUUUUGAAAACUAUCUUUAAAGUGAUGGAGACAAGACUAGACGUACAAUGUUGCCAAGAAACAUUACCUUAUCAACAUGAACUAAUGACUUCGGACAGCAGCAGCAGUAGUUAAUAAGACAAGCGUUCACCGUUCUGACUUUUCAAUCUUGCAGAUUGUCAUUAGCGGAAUUAAGCUCUGCAUCUGUAAUAUACUGGGGGAGAAGUGGCAUCAGUAGAGUUAUGCUUUCACAUUCCUACUCAUUUGGACAUUUUGUACAAAAUGCAACUACUUUUAAAUGCCCCCUUCGCUAGCUUCCCCCCCACAAGCCUAAGAGUUCACUGUGCUCUUCAAUGGUGCUAACUGCCCAAUGCAUGCUUUCAGACUGGGAUGGCCUGCUGCCUCUGAUAUUCCAGAGUGGGAAUCUACUCUACUCAUGGCAACUGUUCUAGGUAUGGAACUACUUCCACUAGCACUGUGAAGGGGGUCAGCUAGAGGCAUCUUCACCUACAUUGAAAGAAAACUAGAGAUUAAUCAUACUGUGAAACCUGUAUUAAGAAGCUACCAAAGGGAUCUGACAAAAAUGGGCUCCUUAAUGGAGAUGGUCUUCUAAUAAAGAUGGAGCACAACUGUAUUCAGUAAAUUUGUGCAUACUUUGGACAGGUCUCUCAAAACCGCAGGAUGCCUAAAUAAUGUAGUCUUAUCCUUCUCCACCUUGUCUCUCAAACAGAAAACUGGAGGGAGUCUGAGGAAGAGCAAGGCAAAUAACUUAGUUGCUUCAGCUAGAGUACCCUCCAAGUUAUUUGUGACAAAUUUUUUCUCACAAAGAAAGGAGAGAAUGUAAAUAAUAAACAGCUGUUUUUGGUAGAAAUGUAUGGUACAUUCUAGAUAAUGAUGCAGAAUUUAAUUGUAGAUGUACUUACUGAAAAAGUAAAACACUUUAGGGCCAUUAUUUUUUACACUAUAUUUUAGGCAAUACUGAUCUGACCCUUAUAACAAAGCAACACCAUUUUAAGCGCCUGUUCCAAACAAAUUAACUCUAAGUUUGCUAUGAAAAAUUAUCCGAUCCAUCAAUAACUGAAUAAAAUUCUGCCACUCCACUUCCCACCCCCCAAAGGUAGCUUUCCCCUGCUUUCUGAUACAAAAUGUUUCUAUUUUAUUAACAAUUCUCCCAAACAACUGAAAUGUUUCUAUGUAACUACUGAACAUGACAUGCCUUUGGAUCACUGCUACCAGGUGGAAUACGGAAGGGCAGCCAGGCCAAACUUGAGUGAAUGGCAAUGCAAUCUAGUGCAUGUGGUUGUAAUGCCAUUAAAGGUUCUAACCCCUCAGGAGAGCUCAAAGCACUGAGCCUACAGGUUAAGGGUGUAUGGCUUCCAUGGGGGUAGGUCCAGAGCCCUUUCCUCAACCCCCCUCCUUCCAGAAUCCCUGUCCAGAGCACUAGCCAUUAUAGGUAUUUCCCUCCACAGCCUAUAAGCCUUAAUGCUGCUACUUCCCAGAGGCUGAAGUGGAGCAGGGAGUGACUGGAGUUACUAUUAAGAGCCCGUUAUUGUACAAGAAGCUACGUCCACCCUUCCCCCCGCAAUUCCAGGGAUUACCAAUGUGGGCACCUCUGCAGCUCUCCAAGCCCAGAGGCCCAGUGCAUUGCCAGACCUAAGGUUGAGAAAGGGGAGGCAAUGUGCUGAACCCUGUGUUGCCACCACGUGAUGUAGGUAACUGGAGGAGUAGACCCAGGAACCUGAAGUCUGUGCCCUUAAGAUGCCUGGCUAAGUAACCUACAGGUGCAAUCAGAUCAUUACUAAGUGUAUGCUACUACAGGUGUAAAUAACAGCACCCACAGAACUGGAGGCCAUUUUUAUAACUUUAGGCCUGAGUGUCUUGUGGAUGGUGUUAAGUACUCUAUCUUUGGAUUUAGCUCAGGGAAGUAACUGCAAACAGACAAUGGAACCUAUUUUCUGGGGUUGCCACCUGGUAUUGUAAGUAGUUGGGGGCCAGGGACCUGAGGUUUAUACCCUUCCUCUCCUUCAGGCAUUUGGAACAUCCAGUUUUGCAGUUCUUCUAGUGCUUAAUCAUUAGAAAUAGCUGCCUUGUACAGUACAUAAAAUUGAUCAGUUUUUGUGGCAUGAAAAGAGAUGGUGAUUGUACUAGUGCUUCAUCUUCGAAUAAACAAAAAGUUUGGAAAUAUGAAGAAAGUUACUUGGAAAUGGGAUUUACAUUUAUUGGCACUGCAAAUGAACCUCAUCCACAAAGCAUUGUCUGUGGUGAUGUACUGGCUAAUGGCAGCUUGAAGCCUUGCAAAUUGAGAUGAGACAUCAUGGACUAGAGGGUAGCCACCUGACUUUUUCAAAGGAAGACUCAAAGCAUUAAAGCAGCCAAAAAGCACUAUAAGAAGCAAGCAUGCUACACUGCCUGCAAAGCAUCUUAAACCAUCUUAUGCUGUGUCAUACUAAGCCUCACACCACAGCAGACACACUGAUUUUGCCAGUUGCAAAGAUUUGUUCCAUUAUGUCUGGGGAAAGCUCAGCUCUGCAGGAUGGUGCCAUUCCACUUUCAAACAACACAGUGAGUUGCAGAAUUUCAGAACUCAGCGGUGUGAACCAUCAAGUGCUGAAAUAUAUUCAGAUGAGUCAAUACAAUGCAAUCCAACUUAAGACAACACAUAUUGCUAGAGCUGUACAACUGCUUGUCUAUGUCAGUUUUGUGCACUGAGUCACUUCUGAAGAAUUUUUUUUGUCAACCCCUUUCAACAUACACCGGGCAACAAAUCUGAAAUGCUAGAUCAGUGGUUUUCAACCAGGGGUACAUGUACCCCUGGGGGUACGCAGAGGUCUUCCAGGGGGUACAUCAACUCAUCUUGGUAUUUGCCUAGUUUUACAACAGGCUACAUAAAAAGCACUAGCCAAGUCAGUUCAAUCUAACAUUUCAUACAAUCAUUUGUAUGUAUUGCUCUCUAUACUAUACACAAAUGUAAAUACAAUAUUUAUAUUCCAAUUGAUUUAUUUUAUAAUCAUAUGGUAAAAAUGAGAAGGCAAUUUUUCAGUAAAAAUGUGCUGUGACACUUUUGUAUUUUUAUUUCUGAUUUUGUAAGCAAGUAAUUUUUAAAUGAGGUGUAACUUGGGUGUCUGCAAGACAAUUCAGACUCUUGAAAGGAGUACAGUAGUCUGGAAAGGUUGAGAGCCACUGUGCUAGAUAAUAUUAUUUGAUGACUUGGGAUUUGCAGUGCUUGAUCCAUGAUGGGAAAAGCUUAGUAGUUUUAUCACUCGCAUUCAUUCAGUAAGUAGCCACCAGUGCCAAAUGGACACACUGCAUUAUACACAGAGAAGCUUCGGCUGCUAAGAAAAUGCCUCAGCCUUGAAGUCAGUUAUGCAGUAAGCCGUGUAGGAUAAUCAAUUUUAUAAAAGCACGGCCACUUAAUGCACAUUUAUUUUCAGUUCUGUCAGGAAAUGGGAUCUAAUCAUUGUGAUGUUGGCAGACUAGAUGCCAACUCAUGCCAAAGGCACAGUGCCCCAGUGUACGCUGACAAAUGCAUAGGUGGAAAUCAGUCUGGCUUACCUGUGGAUUAGUAUAGUUAAAAUAACUAUUAGUGUUAUAUGAAUGUAAUUAGUGUUUAGACUUUACGGAAUGUUUGUAGGAUGUUUAAUGUAUUAAUCCUACUUAUAAAUAUCUGUAUCCCAUGAUAUAAAGUUAUACUGAGUAUUUGCAUUGUAAACCUCUAAUUAUGUAACUCACCAAACAGGAAAAGCAGCAUUAAUUAAGGUAAAGUGCUUGUCCUGGACACAAGAUGGUCCACUGAAGGCAAAUGAGGCACUGUGUAGCAUCAAAGGACAAAGACCUUGUCGAUUGCAUUCCUUACUGCCUCCAUGAAGGGGAGACCUACACAUGAACUUAUCCCGUCAGCUUGGAUUCUGGAGUGAAGUGGAUAAAAAAUCUCUGACAAGGAGAAACUGGAUUUUUGUGGUGUCUGGACUUUGAGGAGAAAAGACUCCUAAACAUAAACAAAAGAUCCCCAUACAGUUUAGCAUGGGUCAGCCCUAAAGGACAUAUAGAUAUGCUUACUAUAGGAGUUUAUAUUACCUUUUUUAAUCUAAGACUGCAACUAAUUUGUGUGUGCAUGUGUUUCCUGUUUUAACCUUUUAAAUAACUAAAUUUCUUUCCUUAGUUUAUAAAUCUUUAGUUAAUUUAUUACAGGAUUGGCUACAGGUGUGGUAUUUGGUUUGAGAUCUGAGUACAAAUGACCUGGGAUAAGUGACUGGUCCUUUGGGACUGGGAGUAACCUGAAUAUUGUUGCACUUUUUGGUGUAAAGUGACCACCUAUCACAGAGCCCAGCUUGCGUGGGUGGCCAGAUAGACUGGAAUGCCCAAGGAACUGUCUGUGACUCCAUAGUAAGACUGUUAUAUUGAGCAAAUUGAGUUCAUCUUGUUAUUGGGUUGGUGAAAUCUAAUUAUAGAGCAUAUAACCAGUUUGGGGUUUCUGCCCUGCUUUUUGAGUCUGCCCCACGGUUGGCACUCAUGGUUGUGAGCCACUCCAGGCAGCAUGACAAUAAUCACCACCUACUACUCCAAACCAAAGGUAGUUAUCAAGAGAAAGAGUACUUCGCCUUUUUGAGUUAUGUGAAGAGGUUAAAAUCAUCUUAACUGAUGCAAAGUCUGAUCUAGUUACCCACUUUCGUGACUACCUUUGGCUGGCACUGUUUGCUUACUUGGUUAAAGUUUUCAACCAUCUGAAUUCACUAAAUGCAUCUAUGCAAGUGAAGAAUAAAUCCUCCUAUCAGACAAAUUAACAAAUUCUAUUCAGAAUCAGGACAUGUGGGCCUCUUGAUUUGCAAGUGGAAACUACAACAUUUCCCACACUUUCAGAUUUCCUCUAGGAUUGUGAGGUGGCAAUUAUGCUUGGCAGAACUUAUUUUUUUUUUUAUAAUUCAAUGGCUAAUAUCUGUUUAUUUUAAGCUUUUACUUUUAGCUAUUUAAAUGUUCACACUUGUGGAAAAUUAUGGGGGAGUCCAAACAGUUAUUAUUUAAUGACAGAUGUUGAUAUUCAAGCUUUAUAACCAUUAAAACAUGAGUUGUCAGCAUCAUGUCAAAAUAUACAAAGUAAAUAGCCUUAAACCAAACUCUAAUAAGUUUUCAAGCAGCAAUUUUCUUACUUUGCCUAUCUGUAAAUUUCAAUUAUUAUUGAUGGAAAUAUUUUUCAUUGGCAUGUGUGUAUAUAUGGUAAAACUGACAUUUACUGAUAAAAAUCUAAUCCUUUCAAGCCUAA